rnacentral:rRNA from 1 species
UACGAAGGGUGCAAGCGUUAGUCGGAAUUACUGGGCGUAAAGCGUGCGUAGGUGGUCUCUUAAGUCCGUUGUGAAAGCCCUGGGCUCAACCUGGGAACUGCAGUGGAUACUGAGAGCUAGAGUGUGUCAGAGGAUGGUGGAAUUCCCGGUGUAGCGGUGAAAUGCGUAGAGAUCGGGAGACGACAGUCGGCUGGAGGCGAGCCA